GACGAACCGUGCGAACGUUGUUCGGAAUCACUGGGCUUAAAGGGCGCGUAGGCGGGCUGACAAGUCUGGGGUGAAAUCCCCGGGCUCAACCCGGGAACUGCGUCCGAUACUGGCAGGCUUGAAUUCGGGAGAGGGAUGCGGAAUUCCAGGUGUAGCGGUGAAAUGCGUAGAUAUCUGGAGGAACACCGGUGGCGAAGGCGGCAUCCUGGACCGAGAUUGACGCUGAUGCGCGAAAGCCAGGGGAGCAAACGGG
rnacentral:rRNA from 1 species